GAGAGUCGGCAAUAAUACCUUGCUGGGUGCCACGAUGUUCCGCCAUCUGGUGGCGCGUGAGCCGUGGAACCACACCCAGCAAGACGCCGCUCCU
rnacentral:ncRNA from 1 species